rnacentral:rRNA from 1 species
CAGUCGCCACGGUAAUACGUAGGGUGCGAGCGUUGUCCGGAUUUAUUGGGCGUAAAGGGCUCGUAGGUGGUUGAUCGCGUCGGAAGUGUAAUCUUGGGGCUUAACCCUGAGCGUGCUUUCGAUACGGGUUGACUUGAGGAAGGUAGGGGAGAAUGGAAUUCCUGGUGGAGCGGUGGAAUGCGCAGAUAUCAGGAGGAACACCAGUGGCGAAGGCGGUUCUCUGGGCCUUUCCUGACGCUGAGGAGCGAAAGCGUGGGGAGCGAACAGGCUUAGAUACCCGAGUAGUCCCUGUCUCUUAUAC